CGCACAUUGCGCCCGCUAGUAUUCUGGCGGGCAUGCCUGUUCGAGCGUCAUUUCAACCCUCAGACCCCCUUUUAGGGAUUCAUGGCCUGGUGUUGGAGCUCGGCUGCCUUCUAGCAGCCGUCUCCCAAAUAGAGUGGCGGUCUCGCUGUAGCUUCCUCUGCGUAGUACUAUACCUCGCUCUGGAAACACGGUGUGAUCAUGCCGUAAAACCCCCCUAUUUUUCUUUGGUUGACCUCGGAUCAGGUAGGAAUACCCGCUGAACUUAA
rnacentral:misc_RNA from 1 species